rnacentral:rRNA from 1 species
AUAGGGGAGCCGUAGGGAAACCGAGUCUUAACUGGGCGAAUGAGUUGCAGGGUAUAGACCCGAAACCCGGUGAUCUAUCCAUGGGCAGGUUGAAGGUUGGGUAACACUAACUGGAGGACCGAACCGACUAAUGUUGAAAAAUUAGCGGAUGACUUGUGGAUGGGGGUGAAAGGCCAAUCAAACCGGGAGAUAGCUGGUUCUCCCCGAAAGCUAUUUAGGUAGCGCCUCGUGAAUUCAUCUUCGGGGGUAGAGCACUGUUUCGACUAGGGGGUCAUCCCGACUUACCAACUCGAUGCAAACUGCGAAUACCGAAGAAUGUUAUCACGGGAGACACACGGCGGGUGCUAACGUCCGUCGUGAAGAGGGAAACAACCCAGACCGCCAGCUAAGGUCCCAAAGUCAUGGUUAAGUGGGAAACGAAGUGGGAAGGCUCAGACAGCCAGGAUGUUGGCUUAGAAGCAGCCAUCAUUUAAAGAAAGCGUAAUAGCUCACUGGUCGAGUCGGCCCGCGCGGAAGAUGUAACGGGGCUAAACCAUGCACCGAAGCUGCGGCAGCGACACAUAGUGUUGUUGGGUAGGGGAGCGUUCUGUAAGCCUGCGAAGGUGUACUGUGAGGUAUGCUGGAGGUAUCAGAAGUGCGAAUGCUGACAUAAGUAACGAUAAUGCGGGUGAAAAACCCGCACGCCGGAAGACCAAGGGUUCCUGUCCAACGUUAAUCGGGGCAGGGUGAGUCGACCCCUAAGGCGAGGCUGAAAAGCGUAGUCGAUGGGAAACGGGUUAAUAUUCCCGUACUGGUGGUAACUGCGAUGGGGGAACGGAGAAGGCUAGGUUGUCCGGGCGACGGUCGUCCCGGUUCAAGCAGGUAGGCAGAGUGAUUAGGCAAAUCCGGUCACUUAAUGCUGAGAUGUGAUGACGAACCACUAAGGUGGUGAAGCAAUUGAUGCCCCGCUUCCAGGAAAAGCCUCUAAGCUUCAGGUUACCAACAAUCGUACCCCAAACCGACACAGGUGGUCAGGUAGAGAAUACUCAGGCGCUUGAGAGAACUCGGGUGAAGGAACUAGGCAAAAUGGUGCCGUAACUUCGGGAGAAGGCACGCUGGCGGUAGGUAAAGUCCCUCGCGGACGGCGCUGAAGCCAGUCGAAGAUACCAGCUGGCUGCAACUGUUUAUUAAAAACACAGCACUGUGCAAACACGAAAGUGGACGUAUACGGUGUGACGCCUGCCCGGUGCUGGAAGGUUAAUUGAUGGGGUUAGCGCAAGCGAAGCUCCUGAUCGAAGCCCCAGUAAACGGCGGCCGUAACUAUAACGGUCCUAAGGUAGCGAAAUUCCUUGUCGGGUAAGUUCCGACCUGCACGAAUGGCGUAAUGAUGGCCAGGCUGUCUCCACCCGAGACUCAGUGAAAUUGAACUCGCUGUGAAGAUGCAGUGUACCCGCGGCAAGACGGAAAGACCCCGUGAACCUUUACUAUAGCUUGACACUGAACAUUGAGCCUUGAUGUGUAGGAUAGGUGGGAGGCUUUGAAGUGUGGACGCCAGUCUGCAUGGAGCCAACCUUGAAAUACCACCCUUUAACGUUUGAUGUUCUAACCUAGGCCCAUAAACUGGGUCGGGGACCGUGUCUGGUGGGUAGUUUGACUGGGGCGGUCUCCUCCUAAAGAGUAACGGAGGAGCACGAAGGUUGGCUAAGCAUGGUCGGACAUCAUGCGGUUAGUGCAAAGGCAUAAGCCAGCUUGACUGCGAGAGUGACGGCUCGAGCAGGUACGAAAGUAGGUCUUAGUGAUCCGGUGGUUCUGAAUGGAAGGGCCAUCGCUCAACGGAUAAAAGGUACUCCGGGGAUAACAGGCUGAUACCGCCCAAGAGUUCAUAUCGACGGCGGUGUUUGGCACCUCGAUGUCGGCUCAUCACAUCCUGGGGCUGAAGUAGGUCCCAAGGGUAUGGCUGUUCGCCAUUUAAAGUGGUACGCGAGCUGGGUUUAGAACGUCGUGAGACAGUUCGGUCCCUAUCUGCCGUGGGCGUUGGAAGAUUGAGAGGGGUUGCUCCUAGUACGAGAGGACCGGAGUGAACGCACCACUGGUGUUCGGGUUGUCAUGCCAAUGGCAUUGCCCGGUAGCUAAGUGCGGAAGAGAUAACCGCUGAAAGCAUCUAAGCGGGAAACUUGCCUCGAGAUGAGUCUUCCCUGUCGCUUUAAGCGACCUAAAGGAACGUUUAAGACUAAGACGUUGAUAGGCUGGGUGUGUAAGCGUAGCGAUACGUUGAGCUAACCAGUACUAAUGAACCGUGAGGCUUAACCUG